UUUCAGACAAGACACCACCUGCUUUGAAUAAGUCAGAUUGACUGAGAUGUACCCGUUCCUCUCCAUGAAUCUGCCAUCCUUGUUGCUAAUGUUAUUGGCUUUCAUGUCAAGAAGGGCGAAAGGAGACUCCAUCAAACAAACAAUCCAUCCUUUUUCAGUGAGAGAAGCGCAGAAUGUCCUGGUGCAGUGCAAAUAUGAAACCGCCGGCUUCCCAUACCUUUUCUGGUAUCAACAACAUCCAUACAGCAGCCCUCAACUCUUGCUGGCAAGUGUUGACACUGAAGGAGACAGCCAGAGGUUUUCAGCAAAGCUUGACAGAGUGGAGAAGAGUUUUAAUUUGAUUAAGGAGUCUGUUGAGCUGAGAGACUCAGCUGUCUACUUCUGUGCUUUGAAGAACUACAGGCUUCAUUUUGGAAAGGGAACAGAGUUAAUAGUAAAAACAG